UACGUAGGGUGCGAGCGUUAAUCGGAAUUACUGGGCGUAAAGCGUGCGCAGGCGGUUAUGUAAGACAGAUGUGAAAUCCCCGGGCUUAACCUGGGAACUGCGUUUGUGACUGCAUAACUAGAGUCAGGCAGAGGGGGGUGGAAUUCCGCGUGUAGCAGUGAAAUGCGUAGAUAUGCGGAGGAACACCGAUGGCGAAGGCAGCCCCCUGGGCUAUGACUGACGCUCAUGCACGAAAGCGUGGGGAGCAAACAGG
rnacentral:rRNA from 1 species